rnacentral:rRNA from 1 species
UACGUAGGGAGCAAGCGUUGCUCGGAAUCACUGGGCGUAAAGCGCACGUAGGCGGCUUCUUAAGUCAGGGGUGAAAUCCUGGAGCUCAACUCCAGAACUGCCUUUGAUACUGAGGAGCUCGAGUCCGGGAGAGGUGAGUGGAACUCCGAGUGUAGAGGUGAAAUUCGUAGAUAUUCGGAAGAACACCAGUGGCGAAGGCGGCUCACUGGCUCGGUACUGACGCUGAGGUGCGAAAGCGUGGGGAGCAAACAGG